UACAGAGGUCCCAAGCGUUGUUCGGAUUCACUGGGCGUAAAGGGUGCGUAGGUGGCAGGGUAAGUUUGAUGUGAAAUCCCCGGGCUUAACUCGGGAACUGCAUUGAAUACUAUCCUGCUUGAGGAUCGGAGGGGAGACUGGAAUUCUCGGUGUAGCAGUGAAAUGCGUAGAGAUCGAGAGGAACACCAGUGGCGAAGGCGAGUCUCUGGACGAUUCCUGACACUGAGGCACGAAAGCUAGGGGAGCAAACAGG
rnacentral:rRNA from 1 species